rnacentral:lncRNA from 1 species
UGGUUGUAAGCCAUGGGCAUGUUGUGUGGUUUGGGGAUGCUAAUUAGGAAAAUGAAACCUGGCUUCUCUCUUUGACAUCAGGAUUGUGUAGCCUAUUAAAACAAAAACAUCCUAGCAUUUCUUGGAGAAAGAACUGUCCAGAUGACAUCAACAAGAGCCCACAUGCUUCAGUGCCUCAGGUGUUGCUUAAAUGCCAAUGACAACUGGUUUGAUCUCCAAUUCGAAAUGUACAUGGUGGAGAAUAAGUGGGUGUGAGGGGGUUUGGUGGUGUGCAGAUGUCAGGUCUGAGACAUCCUCGGCCACGUUAUUACCAUGAGCAAAGCCAGACUGUACAUGAAGCAAAGCC